rnacentral:siRNA from 1 species
UAUAUUGGUGAUCAGAUG